AAAGGUACAAGAGAGAGAGAGAGAGAGAGAGGGAGAGGGAAAGAGAGAGAGAUUUGAUGAAGAAGGGACGCGCGAGUCGCUCUCAAAUAUAAUACAUAUCUAUCCAUCGUUGUCGUCCAACGACCUCAUCAAUAAAAUAGGUCCAUUACUAUCAAUCUAACAUAUGUGAAUGAGUACUCACUCUCUCUCUCUCCCCUCCCUCCCUCUUUCUCUUUCUCUCUCU